AAGCCACUCCUCUGCACCGCCUCCGUGUCUGCUGUGGGUGGGCAGUAAAUAAGGCCCCCCACACUAGGUGCCAAGCAGGCCCAGGGCACGACCUCCACAGCCACAUGUUAGAGAUGUUCUGUCUUCAUGUGAGUAAGAAAGGAAUACAAAAUGCUAUCACUGGAGCGUGUGAAAGACACAGCGUGGCUGAGUGGAUGCUUUCCUAGGAAAAAUCUUCAUGUUCCACGUCACUUUUUUUGUUAAGGAAAAACACACGUGUUGAGUGCCUGUUAGAACUCAUCCCUGUGCUAUGUUUAAAGCCUGUUGGGAGCAUCUGAUCCCAGGUGAUGGGCGCAUUCUAGGCCCUGGGCUUUGGCAGUCGAGCUGGUGACAUGCAGCACACUUGCAAAACCGACCAUAAUGCCACCUGGUGAUUUCACGUGGGGGAUAAUGUACACCAAAGAACCGACUCAAAAGAGAACCAAAAAUAGCGUGUACCAAGAUGCCCAUGGCAGUCCUGGUGACAGUGGCAGAGGCUGACUUGAGCUUGAGGACCUUGAUUUCAAGGACAGAAACUACAGAAGCAGGUACACCUUUUGUUGUACAUGGAACCAGCAGGCCACCCUAGGCUUGUCCCACAUGCUUCUGGGAGCGGCAUGUUGGUGCAGAGCCCUGGCCUCAGACCGCAUGUGGCCCCCAGGAAGCAGGGCCUCCAUUCCAGGGUGAGAUGCCUGAGCCCAGAGAGGUGUGCCCUUCACUGCCACCACACAGCCAGCCAGAGCAGCUCAGAACUGGGGUGUUGCCGACCUGCUUGAGGUGCCCCCACCAGCCACACUGCCUUUGGGGAACAGCUCCAGGAGAGCUGGUCGGCUGCUUCUCUCCCCAGGUGCAUGUUCCCACGCAGGGAGUAUAGUGCGCGCCAGCUCCGGCAAAUGUCCUCUCCGAAACGCUGCGCUGAGCACAGGAGCUGUGCACAGACAACCCCUCAGUAACAGGCACGGCAGGCACGGUUGGAAGGGGUCAUUAGGGUUCCCCUGAGUUCUAGCAGGAACUAUAGAAUUCAUUAGUCCUCAGACUGGUCUAUAGCCCGCAUCAUUGUUCACUUCAAAACCAGCAUGUUGAGACUUGUAUUCAUUUGAAAAAAAGGAAUUGAGGGUUUGGCAGCUUUUAUUUUAACCUGACCAAGUGAGGGAAUGCUCAGGCCCUUGCUCUGGUGCCAUAGGGCGGGGCUGGGCGGGCCAGGCAGGAGGCGUGGCAUGGGGGACCUGCCCCCCAGGGCCUGGCCUGGGGCUGGCUAUACAGAAACACAGACUACAUCUCUCAAGGACCCCAGGAGCUUGCAGUCCCAACAGCAGAAUGUUAUUCAUGUUCUUUUUAUUUUUGCGUUUGUCCAGAAGCACUACCACAGGAAGAGCAAGAAGGAAGUGGAAGUGAGGAGAGAGGAGAGGGGAAGGGGACCAGCUCUCCGGACUAUCGGCACUACCUGCGAAUGUGGGCCAAGGAGAAAGAGGCUCAGAAGGAGACGAUUAAGGAUCUUCCCAAGAUGAACCAGGAGCAGUUCAUUGAGCUGUGCAAGACGCUUUACAACAUGUUCAGUGAAGACCCCAUGGAGCAGGACCUGUACCACGCCAUCGCCACCGUGGCCAGCCUCCUGCUCCGCAUCGGAGAGGUGGGGAAGAAGUUCUCGGCCCGCACAGGCAGGAAGCCCAGGGACUGUGCCACUGAGGAGGACGAGCCGCCAGCACCCGAACCGCAUCAGGAUGCAGCCAGGGAGCUUCAGCCCCCAGCUGCAGGAGACCCCCAAGCCAAAGCAGGCGGAGACACACACCUCGGGAAAGCCCCACAGGAGACCCAGGUGGUCGUGGAGGGAGGCAGUGGCGAGGGACAGGGCUCACCCUCCCAGCUGCUGUCUGACGAUGAAACCAAAGACGACAUGUCCAUGUCCUCAUACUCGGUGGUCAGCACGGGCUCCCUGCAGUGUGAAGACCUUGCAGACGACACGGUGCUGGUGGGCGGGGAGGCCUGCAGCCCCACAGCCCGCAUCGGCGGCACCGUCGACACCGACUGGUGCAUCUCCUUCGAGCAGAUCCUGGCCUCCAUCCUGACGGAGUCCGUGCUGGUGAACUUCUUUGAGAAAAGAAUGGACGUUGGACUCAAGAUCAAGGACCAAAAGAAAGUGGAGAGACAGUUCAGCACCGCCAGUGACCAUGAGCAGCCUGGAGUUUCCGGCUGAUGCCUGCAGCUGUGAGGCCUGACCCGAGGUGUCAUCAGUGGGGCUGGCCUCAUCUCCUCCUGCCUUUUCUCCCUUAUCAGUUUCUCUUUAAAGGUGUGCCCCUCCUGCUCUCCCAGGAGCAGUGAGUUGUGAAUGGAAAGAAGGCUGGUGCAGACCCAGCUGCCUUAGACAGAUUCCCUGGGCCUGCAUCUCCUGGCGCCGGCUGCUUCUGGGCCCAGGAAGAGGCUGUGGCUCCCACCUUCCUUAUACCCGGUGGGAGCCCGCCUAGCACCAGCUGCACCUGCCUAGCGUUAGAGGCUCUCAGAUCUGCCCUUGCUUGCCUCAUACCUCUGUGCCCCGCACUGUGGCCAGGCCAGCUGAGUCCCUCCAUCCGUGGAUGCUUUCCUGCAGCUAUGUGGUACAGGGGUCAUUCCUGCCUCUUGGUACCAGGCUGGGGGGCAUGUGCUUGUUGGGCACCAAAGUGAUUGAACCCUCAGGUGCUCUCCGGGAGCCUGAACCUCCUGACUGAGGAACAUGGGCAGAACAUGUUUAUUGCACAGGGUGGGUGCUGCGCACAGGUGUGGCCGUACACAUGCUCUCAGCUCAUCAUCCUUUCCAGUAACUUUAAAAGCACAUCCCUCAGGUCCUGAUAUAUGUCCUUGGAUUCAUUUCACUUGGCUAGAAAUUACACUGUGCUCAAUGCCUUAAUAAAUCCCUGAAAGAAAU
rnacentral:sRNA from 1 species